rnacentral:rRNA from 1 species
GAUGAACGCUGGCGGCGUGCCUAAUACAUGCAAGUCGAGCGAACAGACGAGGAGCUUGCUCCUCUGACGUUAGCGGCGGACGGGUGAGUAACACGUGGAUAACCUACCUAUAAGACUGGGAUAACUUCGGGAAACCGGAGCUAAUACCGGAUAAUAUAUUGAACCGCAUGGUUCAAUAGUGAAAGACGGUUUUGCUGUCACUUAUAGAUGGAUCCGCGCCGCAUUAGCUAGUUGGUAAGGUAACGGCUUACCAAGGCAACGAUGCGUAGCCGACCUGAGAGGGUGGUCGGCCAACCUGGAACUGGGACACGGUCCAGACUCCUACGGGAGGCAGCAGUAGGGAAUCUUCCGCAAUGGGCGAAAGCCUGACGGAGCAACGCCGCGUGAGUGAUGAAGGUCUUCGGAUCGUAAAACUCUGUUAUUAGGGAAGAACAAAUGUGUAAGUAACUAUGCACGUCUUGACGGUACCUAAUCAGAAAGCCACGGCUAACUACGUG